GCACGGCUGGCGCAGUGUCAAAGGGGAGUGUAUCAGACUUCGAAUCUGGGGGUUGCGGGUUCGAGUCCCGCGUCGUGUA